UUCGAGAUGAGGACUCCCACCCACUUGAUGGGGUAAGGCUCCCAGUAGACGACUGGGUUGAUAGGCCGGAUCUGGAAGCACGGUAACGUGUGGAGGUGACCGGUACUAAUAGGCCGAGGGCUUGUCCUC
rnacentral:ncRNA from 2 species